UACAGAGGUCUCAAGCGUUGUUUCGGAUUCAUUGGGCGUAAAGGGUGUGUAGGUGCGCCGUAAGUCGGGUGUGAAAUUUCGGAGCUUAACUCCGAAACUGCAUUCGAUACUGCGGUGCUUGAGGACUGGAGAGGAGACUGGAAUUCAUGGUGUAGCAGUGAAAUGCGUAGAGAUCAUGAGGAAGACCAGUGGCGAAGGCGGGUCUCUGGACAGUUCCUGACACUGAGACACGAAGGCCAGGGGAGCAAACGGG
rnacentral:rRNA from 1 species